rnacentral:rRNA from 1 species
GAUGAACGCUGGCGGCGUGCCUAAUACAUGCAAGUCGAGCGAACAGACGAGGAGCUUGCUCCUCUGACGUUAGCGGCGGACGGGUGAGUAACACGUGGAUAACCUACCUAUAAGACUGGGAUAACUUCGGGAAACCGGAGCUAAUACCGGAUAAUAUAUUGAACCGCAUGGUUCAAUAGUGAAAGACGGUUUUGCUGUCACUUAUAGAUGGAUCCGCGCCGCAUUAGCUAGUUGGUAAGGUAACGGCUUACCAAGGCAACGAUGCGUAGCCGACCUGAGAGGGUGAUCAGCCACACUGGAACUGAGACACGGUCCAGACUCCUACGGGAGGCAGCAGUAGGGAAUCUUGCGCAAUGGGCGAAAGCCUGACGGAGCAACGCCGCGUGAGUGAUGAAGGUCUUCGGAUCGUAAAACUCUGUUAUUAGGGAAGAAAAAAUGUGGAAGUAACUAUGCACGUCUUGACGGUACCUAAUCAGAAAGCCACGGCUAACUACGUG